UAAUUUUUUUUUUCCAUUGUCAUAUUUUGAGAAAUUUAGAGGUAAAUACUGUAGACAUUUCACUAAUACUUUUAUAAUGAGAUAUGUUCAGUUAUCAGAGUUGCCUUGAAUGCUAUCUUGUUUGUAGUUUUGCUACACAUAAUAUUAAUAAUCAUUGCAUUACUACAUAUAGAAAAGUGUACAUUGCCAGACAGCCUUAUCAUUGUAUCAUUGCUAAUGUUAAAACUUAGUCUUACAAAGGGUAGUUAAAUUAAGAUCUUUAUAUUCCUGGAGAAGGAACUUAAUAUUUGUGGUUCUAUCACUCAUGAAUUGGAUAAUUGUUUGAUUAAAGUUUUGACAGAAACAUUAAAUGUGCUUUGUUUUAUAGUUUCAGUGGAUAAGAUUUGUUAAUGUUAUUUUAAUGGAGAAAAAUUUUUGGACCUAAAUUAACAUUAGGUUUUAUUUAAUCAUUCAUGUGUCUACAAGAUGUACAGUACUUACAGUCACUCCAAAAACUAUCUCUUCUUUGGGGGGAGGGGGGGGGAGGGUCGAUGAAUUUCAGAAUGAACACUACGACUUCUGGUGUCUCGGUAGGGUUGUUAAAAUCCUUAGUCCGUUGUCAUAUUUUCUUGACACAAAUUUGUAUAGAUAAUUUUUUGAGUAACUGUACAAGUACGUGUAUACAGGUAUGUCUGUGAAGAGUAUAUUAUGAGUAAAGGUAGCAGUGCAUACUCAUUCCUGGAUAUGAAUAAACAUCCCAGAAGUUCACAUGAAUUUGGUGAAAUUAUAUGAUGUCACAUCCCCAGCCAUACUCUGAGACUGAAGACUUCCUAGAUAUAUCCACUUAACCUUACCUGGUGCAGGUGUCUGGCAUCGGUAUCUAUUGCAGUAUGUAAAGGGGUGAGUGAUAAUUGAGUGUUAAGCUCUGGCGACCAUUAUGGCAAGAAUAUCAUAGAACCCAAUUUAAUUUUUUUUUGUUAUUAUUAUAUCUAUAUGAACAGUUAUUGUUGCCUGGUUUUCACAUUUUAUAUAUGUCAAAUAAUACAACUAUAGUUACAGGCAUAUCCUAUUGCCCUUGUCUCCUUGUUACUAGUAAAUGAAUUUCCAGUGACAGCAUAACUAUGAGUGCAAAUCUGUUAUCUGGUUAUCAGAAUAUGUACAGGGAGGGGGGGCUGGAUGUAUUUGAAAAUGAACACAAUAACACGUGCACAGCAGUCUCGGUUCAGUUUGUUUUUCUGAUUGCGAGUUGCACCUUUUGUUAUUUCUUCUUGCACCUGAUAAUCACCAUGAUAUCUGCAGUAUACCACCUAUUCUCUACAUAAUGUAAUGAAAUAGGAUGAAUUGUGAUACCAUAUGCAAAACCAAUAAUGUCAUGAGUAACCUGCUGAUUUAUGCACCUUAGAUACUAUUUCAGCCCCAGGGAAUGUGUUGCCAAAUAGGAAUAUAACAUCACUGUUUUCAUGAACUGAGGUUACAAUGGAAUCACUUCAAACGGAAUUUGAAACGCUAUGAUCCGAUAUUACAUUCAUUUGUCAUAUCAAAUUACAAUUACAUUGUGAUUUACUGCAUUUCAAUAUUAUUUCUACCUCAAUUGAUGAGGUAAUAUAACGUAUCAUCUCAUGAUUCGCGCUGGCAACAUAACAUUAUCUGAUACACACUAUGAGACGAUGUCGUUGAGUCCUCCCAUAGUCACUAUGGAGACAUCAAAGGCUGCACGAGGGGGUGGAUAUACUAAAUAUUGAUAGGUAGAAACUAAUACAGUAUAGUCUGGAUUUACGCGGUUUUUGUUUAAGCGUUUGGUCAUUUACGCAGUGCCUUGCCAGAAUGAAAUGUUUUAAUUACGCGGUAAAUUUCAUCAUUUACGUGGCGAGCGACUGGAGAGGUCCAGACGCACCGCACCAUUUUUUUACUCACGCGGUCUAUUCUUGACCAUACGCAGGAAGCGGCGCGGUGAGGGGUGCGCAUUAGGUCGCUCUUACGUUAUCGCUGACGUCAUAUGAAGUGUCGGAUUGUGAUUGGGACACGCAUCCUUACCACCCACGCAUUCCCUCCGCCGCUAGCUGUGAUUGGUCUAAUGUAACAUGACGUGCCCUGCCACCAGAAGUCGCUGACCUAGCCAGGCCAGUCUCAUUGUUCUCAGUCCGCGUAUGCAGUUCUCUAUUGUGCCCGCUAUUCCCCUCACAAUGGCUUCCUGUACUUGGGUUGACUUGGUUUAAUUAGACAUUGGUGAUGACGACCAGACUUGUUCUUAAUGAUGUGGUGAGUGUUGUUUAAUUGUUUUGUACAGGUAGUAGUAUUUUUUUUUAUGAUACACGCGAGUGUUCCAACUGGCCAGGAACCUAACUCCAUUGUAAAUAGGGGGAUACCUGUAUAUUAUUUUGUUUUUGACUAUGUAGGCGUUGUUAUUCUCUUAAGACCAGUUUAUUUGAAAAUGGGGAGGUUUAAGAUAAACAUAUGAUGAUUA